CUCACUACCCUUGAGCAUUGCUCAGAAUCUUCAUCUCCUGGGACCCUGCAGAAGGAUGUCCCAAAUCACCCUGAGCCCUGGGGGUCACCACAGUCAUGGUCCAGGACUCUGAUGGGACUGCUGACGUCAUCCCUACUUUACAGAUGAGGAAACGGAGCCCCGGGUCACCCAGCCUGCGUAUAAACAAGGCAGUUUCUCAGAGGAGUAAAGCAUGCUAGCCUGGAGAACUCAGGGGAAAGGAGCGGUGCCUGGGGAGACAGUGGUCAGGGAGGGUUUCCUGGAAGAGAUGACAUUUUGGGGUCAGAACUUCCCAGACACAGCAUCAUGGUGGGGGGCGGGGGAAAGGAAGCCAGGUAGAGGGCCUGCCAGGGCCUGAAGUGGGAAGCAGUGGGUGUGUCUAGGGGCCUGGGAGGGCAUCAGGAGAAAAGCAGGGAGGGGGGCAGUUCUUGAUCUCCUGAGCCCAGCAGAGGGCUCUGGGAGGAACAGAGCGGCCCCAGGUGCUGAGUGAGCCCCCACUGAUGGAGCCCCCUCUGGGCCCACUGGGUCUCUUUUUUGCCUAGAAAGUGGAUUCUCUGCCAGCAGACUGGUGGCUUCAGACCCUCCCUGUCCCACCGCUCUGAUCUGCCCAGCCCACCCCGCAUCUCCAUGCAAGGAAAUUGAGAAGAUUCGAAGUAGAGGAGGGGCUUCUGGGAGGGGAAAUAUUUGGAUUCUCCGAAGGCAUGAGAAUUGCCUGAUUCCCAACCGAUUAGGGGUAAUUAACCCUUCGCAAGGCAGUAAUUAAGUCUGUGCCUCUGAAACCGUAAUUAGGAGCUCCAAGAGGCUCCGCCCCCCUCCCAAGAGGCAGACAAUCCCCAGUGCUGAGGCCAGCUGGGACUGGGGGCAGGGCUCUCUUUCCCUGGCAGGGUUGCGGGGUACUCACAGCCUGCCAGCCUCCCUCAGCACCACCCCAUCCCAUCCCAAAGCAGGGAUGCAGGGACCAGCGCCCAUGGAACCCAGGCAUUUUCCUUUUGGGGUUGUCAGGCCACACAAGGAGACUUUGCUUUUGCGGGGCAUGAAGUCAGGGAGAUGAGGCUGGGCAAGGGGCCUGGGGUGUGGGGCUGGCAACAACCCUUAAGGGUUUUCCUCUCUGGCCAAGGGGAGCGAAGCAGAGAUCCCAAAUCAAAGUGGGUGAGGACCUCAGGGACACGGGCUGGCCACAGGGAGGAUGGGGGCAGUCUUAGGGGGCUCAGUGAGGACAGGAGAUGCCCACUCACCACAGCCAAGAGGCAUUGGCCUCAGGAGUCAGGCUGACUGUGUGCUCUCCGGGUCUCCCAGGGAGGUGGCCAGGAGAUGAGGAGCAGAGAUGCAGAGUUCCUGGUGUGGGGCAACUGGUGCACAAUGAUCCCUGGGACACUCAGGUCCACAGAGACCCCCUGCUUUGCCCCUGCCCCAUCUAUCUAGCCCCCGGCAUCCACCAAGCAGACUUCUUUUUAAAAAUAAUUAUGAAUUUAAGCUGUCUUGGGUCUUAGAUGUGGCAUGCAGGAACUUUGAUCAUUGCAGCUUGCAGGAUCUUGGUUCCCUGAUAGUGAUUGAACUCAGGACCCCUGCAUUGGAAGCACGGAGUCUUAGCCACUGGAUCACCAGGGAAUUCCCCCUCAGCAAGCUUUCUGAGGCCAACUCUAGGUCCCCACGUAGAGUCCCAUUCCUCUCCACUCCACAUGCUCUUUGGUGGUAUAGCUGGAGUCAGUAUCCUCAGAGGCAAAUGCCUGGGAGAGGGAGGCAGGUCACAUGGUCUGGGGUUUUUUCUCUGGUGUGUGUGGGGAGGUGGGGGGGCACUUGCUCACAGGUGUUCAUGGUGGGUUGGGAGGAUGGUAUCUAUGUGGAGCUGAGUGGUGAUAGAGGGCUUUCAACUCAGUCUGAGGUUUAUUCUUUUCUUCUCCAGCUCUUAGGAGACGACACCUCAAGGAGGGGCACGGAAGCAGGGAGACCUGUUGGAUAGGGAGUGUAGGGUGGGAUUUGUCUCCAAAAGAGUAUUUGACAUCCCACCUGACCUCUCCCUCCACUGCUCAGCUCUGGCCACCCUGAUCCUUUCUUGUCCAGUACCUCAAGCUCCUUUCUCUCUGCCCCAGGACCUUUGCACCGGCUAUGUCCUCCACAGAUGCCUUGCCCCGGUCUUGGGGUGGCUGGGGCUUUAUCCCUCUCAGUGCAUGUUUAGUUGCUUUGGUCGUGUCUGACUCUUUUCGACCCUAUGAGCUGUAGCCUGCCAGGCUCCUCUGUCCAUGAGAAUACUCAACUGGGUUGUCAUGCCCUCCUCCAAGGGAUCUUCCCGACCCCGGGAUUGAACCCAGGUCUCAUGUCUCCCGCGUUGGCAGGUGGGUUCUUUACCACUAGCGCCAGCCACCUGAGAAGCCCAUAUCCCUCUCAGGCCUCAGUGCAAACGUUGCCGCCUCCGAGAGCCCCCGCUACUCCGCUUAUUCAGAGCAAGCUUCCUGUCCUCUUACAUCCUUAUGUUCACUUUCACCUUCAGAACACUCAUCCCAACCAGGAACAGGCUCCUGGGUGUCUCUCCCCUUCCUCAUUUGUGUUCCGCGAGACUGAAUGUUUCAGAAUAGCAGGGAGUUUUACCUAUUAUGUUCCUUCUGUGUCCUCUGAACCCAGAACAGAGUUCGGUACAGCAAGCUCCUGGAGUUGAUGAUGGACGGGGAAGCCUGGCAUGCUGCAGUCCGUGGGGUCGCAAAGAGUUGGACACGACUGAGCGACUGAACUGAUGAUUCCUGUUGUGGACUCCAGGAGAGGAGGUGAAUCCAUCAGGUUGUACCCAUUGGGUGCUUGACAAGGUGGUGUGCAGAAAGUGGAGGGAACUUCAGUGACGUCAAAAAUGUUACCUCCGUUUUUGAAGUGCGGAAAUGGACUUGAAACUGAGAGAUGAAUUGUCUCACCCAAGCUGACAAGAGCUCUGGAUUCGAACCCAGGACUCCUGUCUGCAGAUCCAGAUGGGUGAGCAGGAAAAGUGAUUCCAUUCAGAUGCCUGUUGUCCUUCUGACACUGGUUGAGCAGGAUCAAGAUGGACUAGUGGCCAGAAGCCUGGAAGGUACGCUCCAGACGGGGCACAGAAAAGUGAAGGAGCUUGUCCAAGGUCACAUCACCAGUAAAUGAUGAAGACUUCCCUGGUCAGAGAACGAGACGGUUGGAUGGCAUCACCGACUCGGUGGACAUGAGUUUGAGUAAGCUCCGGGAGUUGGUGAUGGACAGGGAAGCCUGGCGUGCUGCAGUCCGUGGGGUCGCAAAGAGUUGGACAGGGCUGAGCGACUGAACUGAACUCCCUGGUGGUCCAGUGAUUAAGAAUCCAUCUGUCAAUGCAGGGGACACGGGUUCUAUCCUUGGCCCCGGGAAGACCCCAUACUCCGCAGGGCAACUAAGCCGGCGCACCACAACUUCUGAGCCUGCGCUCUAGAGCCCUUGAACUGGAACUACUGCGCCUGCACGCUGCAGCUACUGAAGUCCAUGCGCCUAGAGCCUGUGCUCCACAACAAAGGAAACUGCCGCAACGAGAAGCCAGGGCACCACAACAGAGAGCGGCCCCCACUCGAGGCAACUAGAGAAAGCCCACAAAGCAACAAACACCUGUGCAACCAAAAAUAAAAAUAAUUAAUUAAAAAAAAAAAGUAAAUGAUGAAUCUGGGAUUCAAAUCCAGGCCCUUGGGAACCAAAGCUUGGGCCCCCACCCUUGUGAACUACAGUUGCUUUUACUUUCUCCCCAUCCCCUGACCUGCUCAGACUGCUAGACAAGGUAACACCAAUAACACCACCAUAUCGUCCCCAGUUAUUUUUAUGGCACCUUUAACCACUUAGAAGUCAACUGAGCAUCCA